CUUCUACAUCAUGUGGCCACAACUGGAAUUUUCACUGGAUCUUGACUAGUGGACAUUCUGCAAAGGUUUGAGAUGAAUGGUGGAAGUAGCAGGAGGUAUGAUGAUUCCUCUCUAUUUGUCUCUCAGCUCUUCUCUUCACUCUGUUGUACCCAGCUCUACCUCUGGUAAGGUUGACCUCUACGGACUGCAUAGACAAGACAACCUUGUUUUCUGGCUUCUGGUUGGAGUAGGCCAACGGUCUGUGAUGACAGGAUGGUGAAGGAGUGGUUCUUAAGCCCUUGGAAACCACACUUGGAGAGAGCUGACUGAGACUGAAGACAAUAGAAAAGCAGCCAGAGCUGCGAGAUGAAGAGAGACGGAUUCACAGUGACACUGUGCAAGCACCUGGCUCAGGUCUCACAGGAGGACAGCAAUUCAUGAAGCCAGACAGCCCCCGAACCUCUCAAUUAAGUCAGCCACUUCCAGCUACUGUAUGCCCUGGGAGGAAGCAAGCAAUGGCUCAAAUAGGUACCUGACCUCUGUGUUGGAGACACAAACUGAUUUCCCAGCUCCUGGCAUCAACUUGACUCAGCGCCAGCUGCUGCAGGUAUUUGGAGAGGAAGCCAGCAGACUGAAGAUUGAUCUCUUUCUCUCUCUCUCUUU